CCUACGGGGGGCAGCAGUGAGGAAUUUUCCGCAAUGGGGGCAACCCUGACGGAGCAACGCCGCGUGCAGGAAGACGGCCUUCGGGUUGUAAACUGCUUUUCUGGGGGACGAGAGUGGACGGUACCCCAGGAAGAAGCCCCGGCUAACUACGUGCCAGCAGCCGCGGUAAUACGUAGGGGGCAAGCGUUGUCCGGAAUUAUUGGGCGUAAAGCGCACGCAGGCGGUUGCACGCGUUUCCGGUGCCAGCUCGUUGCUUAACGACGGGAGUGCCGGGAAGACGGUGCGACUUGAGGGCCUCAGAGGGACAUAGAAUUCCGGGUGGAGUGGUGAAAUGCGUAGAUAUCCGGAGGAAUACCAAAGGCGAAGGCAGUGUCCUGGGAGGUGUCUGACGCUCAGGUGCGAAAGCCAGGGGAGCGAACGGGAUUAGAUACCCCGGUAGUC
rnacentral:rRNA from 1 species